rnacentral:rRNA from 1 species
UACGAAGGGGGCGAGCGUUGUUCGGAUUUACUGGGCGUAAAGGGCGCGCAGGCGGCGCAUUUUGUCAGGCGUGAAAGCCCCGGGCUUAACCUGGGAACUGCGUUUGAUACGGAUGGGCUAGAGUUCGGGAGAGGAGAGUGGAAUUCCCAGUGUAGAGGUGAAAUUCGUAGAUAUUGGGAAGAACACCAGUGGCGAAGGCGGCUCACUGGCCCGGUACUGACGCUGAGGCGCGAAAGCGUGGGGAGCAAACAGG